rnacentral:misc_RNA from 1 species
UCCGGUUUGACACCGGCAGUCUCGUUAGAGUCCCCGCCAUUACGCGCUGGCAACUAACGAUAGGGGUUUCGCUCGUUAAGGGACUUAACCCGACAUCUCACGACACGAGCUGACGACAGCCAUGCAGCACCUGUGUAUGUUCCACCCGGAGGCGUCACUCCUGUUUCUAGGAGCUAAUCCAUACAUGUCAAACCCAGGAUAAGGUUCUUCGCGUUGCUUCGAAUUAAGCCACAUGCUCCACCGCUUGUGUGAGCCCCCGUCAAUUCCUUUGAGUUUUAGCCUUGCGACCGUACUCCCCAGGCGGUGCACUUAUUAGUUUACCUUCGACCGAGAUGGCGUCAGAGCCUCCUCGAUCUAGUGCACAACGUUUAGGGCGUGGACUAC